rnacentral:rRNA from 1 species
UACGUAGGGUGCGAGCGUUGUCCGGAAUUAUUGGGCGUAAAGGGCUCGUAGGCGGUCUGUUGCGUCGGGAGUGAAAACUCAGGGCUUAACCCUGAGCCUGCUUCCGAUACGGGCAGACUAGAGGUAUGCAGGGGAGAACGGAAUUCCUGGUGUAGCGGUGAAAUGCGCAGAUAUCAGGAGGAACACCGGUGGCGAAGGCGGUUCUCUGGGACGGUACUGACGCUGAGACGCGAAAGCGUGGGGAGCGAACAGG